rnacentral:rRNA from 1 species
UACGUAGGUGGCAAGCGUUGUCCGGAAUCAUUGGGCGUAAAGCGCGCGUAGGCGGCCUCAUAAGUCCGUUGUGAAAGUCAAAGGCUACAACCUUUGAAAGCCGAUGGAUACUGUGAGGCUAGAGUCCGGAAGAGGCGAGUGGAAUUCCUGGUGUAGCGGUGGAAUGCGCAGAUAUCAGGAGGAACACCGAGUGGCGAAGGCAGGUCUCUGGGCCGCAACUGACGCUGAGGAGCGAAAGCAUGGGGAGCGAACAGG